rnacentral:rRNA from 1 species
AUCGUUUACCGUGAAAAAAUUAGAGUGUUCAAAGCAGGCAGAUCCAAUUUUCUGCCACCGAAUACAUUAGCAUGGGAUAAUGGAAUAGGACCCUGUCCUCCUAUUUUCAGUUGGUUUGCCGCGAGGACCAGGGUAAUGAUUAAUAGGGAUAGUUGGGGGCAUUAAUAUUUAAUUGUCAGAGGUGAAAUUCUUGGAUUUAUGAAAGAUUAACUUCUGCGAAAGCAUCUGCCAAGGAUGUUUUCAUUAAUCAAGAACGAAAGUUAGGGGAUCGAAGACGAUCAGAUACCGUCGUAGUCUUAACCAUAAACGAUGCCGACCAGCGAUUAGGAGACGUUGAAUACAAAACACCACCAUGCGACAUUGCGGUCGUCUUUGGUGUCGCUCACAAGGCGACACCGGGGCGCUAGCUCGUCAUGGCCCUCCCCGUGAG